rnacentral:rRNA from 1 species
AGUCACUGACAUUAGAUACCCCGGUAGUCCUAGCCGUAAACGAUACUCGCUAGGUGUCGGCCACGGUGCGACCGUUGUCGGUGCCGUAGGGAAGCCGUGAAGCGAGCCACCUGGGAAGUACGGCCGCAAGGCUGAAACUUAAAGGAAUUGGCGGGGGAGCACCACAACGGGUGGAGCUUGCGGUUUAAUUGGAUUCAACGCCGGAAAUCUUACCGGGACCGACAGCAAUAUGAAGGCCAGGCUGAAGACUUUGCCUGAAUCGCUG